UACGGAGGGGGCAAGCGUUAUCCGGAUUCACUGGGUGUAAAGGGAGCGUAGACGGCGACGCAAGUCUGGAGUGAAAGCCCGGGGCCCAACCCCGGGACUGCUCUUGGAACUGCGUGGCUGGAGUGCAGGAGGGGCAGGCGGAAUUCCUGGUGUAGCGGUGAAAUGCGUAGAUAUCAGGAGGAACACCGGUGGCGAAGGCGGCCUGCUGGACUGCAACUGACGUUGAGGCCCGAAAGCGUGGGGAGCAAACAGG
rnacentral:rRNA from 1 species